UACGUAGGUGGCAAGCGUUGCUCGGAAUCACUGGGCGUAAAGCGCACGUAGGCGGCUUUCUAAGUCGGUGGUGAAAUCCUGGAGCUCAACUCCAGAACUGCCUCCGAUACUGGAGAGCUCGAGUCCGGGAGAGGCCAGUGGAAUUCCGGGUGUAGUGGUGAAAUGCGUAGAGAUCCGGAGGAACACCAGUGGCGAAGGCGGCUGGCUGGACCUGACCUGACGCUGAGGCGCGAAGGCGUGGGGAGCGAACGGG
rnacentral:rRNA from 1 species